CUGGGGGCAGCUACACAUGCAGUCGAGCGGUAGCACAGAGAGCUUGCUCUCGGGUGACGAGCGGCGGACGGGUGAGUAAUGUCUGGGAAACUGCCUGAUGGAGGGGGAUAACUACUGGAAACGGUAGCUAAUACCGCAUAACGUCGCAAGACCAAAGUGGGGGACCUUCGGGCCUCAUGCCAUCAGAUGUGCCCAGAUGGGAUUAGCUAGUAGGUGGGGUAACGGCUCACCUAGGCGACGAUCCCUAGCUGGUCUGAGAGGAUGACCAGCCACACUGGAACUGAGACACGGUCCAGACUCCUACGGGAGGCAGCAGUGGGGAAUAUUGCACAAUGGGCGCAAGCCUGAUGCAGCCAUGCCGCGUGUGUGAAGAAGGCCUUCGGGUUGUAAAGCACUUUCAGCGGGGAGGAAGGCGUUGAGGUUAAUAACCUUGGCGAUUGACGUUACCCGCAGAAGAAGCACCGGCUAACUCCGUGCCAGCAGCCGCGGUAAUACGGAGGGUGCAAGCGUUAAUCGGAAUUACUGGGCGUAAAGCGCACGCAGGCGGUCUGUCAAGUCGGAUGUGAAAUCCCCGGGCUCAACCUGGGAACUGCAUUCGAAACUGGCAGGCUAGAGUCUUGUAGAGGGGGGUAGAAUUCCAGGUGUAGCGGUGAAAUGCGUAGAGAUCUGGAGGAAUACCGGUGGCGAAGGCGGCCCCCUGGACAAAGACUGACGCUCAGGUGCGAAAGCGUGGGGAGCAAACAGGAUUAGAUACCCUGGUAGUCCACGCCGUAAACGAUGUCGAUUUGGAGGUUGUGCCCUUGAGGCGUGGCUUCCGGAGCUAACGCGUUAAAUCGACCGCCUGGGGAGUACGGCCGCAAGGUUAAAACUCAAAUGAAUUGACGGGGGCCCGCACAAGCGGUGGAGCAUGUGGUUUAAUUCGAUGCAACGCGAAGAACCUUACCUGGUCUUGACAUCCACAGAACUUUCCAGAGAUGGAUUGGUGCCUUCGGGAACUGUGAGACAGGUGCUGCAUGGCUGUCGUCAGCUCGUGUUGUGAAAUGUUGGGUUAAGUCCCGCAACGAGCGCAACCCUUAUCCUUUGUUGCCAGCGGUCCGGCCGGGAACUCAAAGGAGACUGCCAGUGAUAAACUGGAGGAAGGUGGGGAUGACGUCAAGUCAUCAUGGCCCUUACGACCAGGGCUACACACGUGCUACAAUGGCAUAUACAAAGAGAAGCGACCUCGCGAGAGCAAGCGGACCUCAUAAAGUAUGUCGUAGUCCGGAUUGGAGUCUGCAACUCGACUCCAUGAAGUCGGAAUCGCUAGUAAUCGUAGAUCAGAAUGCUACGGUGAAUACGUUCCCGGGCCUUGUACACACCGCCCGUCACACCAUGGGAGUGGGUUGCAAAAGAAGUAGGUAGCUUAACCUUCGGGAGGGCGCUUACCACUUUGGAUAU
rnacentral:rRNA from 1 species